GUUUUUAGUAAGUAUAGCUUUGGAUCAAACUUAAUUUUAUCGCUGAAAGCUAAGAAUGAUAACAUUUGGUUACCGAUUGCCACCAGCUGAUCAAAGCUGUUGAACCAAACUGGCCCUUCAUAUUUUUUAUUUGUAGUUGAAGAUGAAAUGAAACAAACCAAAGGAUCAUUGUGGUUGUUGGUUGUGGCGUCUGGUGAUUGAUGAAAGCCAAAGAUUGGCAGAGUGGUCAGUGGACUAAUGGAAAUUUGUUUAUGUGAUUCCUUGAUAGCUUCCAUCUUCUUUUUAGUUUGUGAUAGUCUGGAAAAUUACUUUGUUUUUUUCUUCUUGAUAAAUUUCUAAGCUCCUUAAACACUGAAAAUUGCGA
rnacentral:misc_RNA from 1 species